GCCCGCAUAGCUCAGUCGGUAGAGCAUCAGACUUUUAAUCUGAGGGUCGCGGGUUCAAGUCCCUCUGCGGGUG
rnacentral:tRNA from 1 species